UGCGUAGGUGGUUAGGUAAGACCUGUGGGAAAGACCUGGGCUUAACCCAGGAAGGUCGCAGGUGACUGCCUGGCUAGAGGGCGGGAGAGGAGCGCGGAAUUCCCGGUGUAGCGGUGAAAUGCGUAGAGAUCGGGAGGAAGGCCGGUGGCGAAGGCGGCGCUCUGGAACGUUCCUGACACUGAGGCACGAAAGCGUGGGGAGCAAACAGGAUUAGAUACCCUGGUAGUCCACGCCCUAAACGAUGGGUACUAAGUGUCGGCGGGUUACCGCCGGUGCCGCACCUAACGGAGUAACGUACCCCGCUGGGGAGUACGGCCGCAAGGUUGAA
rnacentral:rRNA from 1 species